AUUGAACGCUGGCGGCAGGCCUAACACAUGCAAGUCGAGCGGUAGAGAGGUGCUUGCAUCUCUUGAGAGCGGCGGACGGGUGAGUAAUGCCUAGGAAUCUGCCUAGUGGUGGGGGAUAACGUUCGGAAACGGACGCUAAUACCGCAUACGUCCUACGGGAGAAAGCGGGGGGAUCUUCGGACCUCGCGCCAUUAGAUGAGCCUAGGUCGGAUUAGCUAGUUGGUGAGGUAAUGGCUCACCAAGGCGACGAUCCGUAACUGGUCUGAGAGGAUGAUCAGUCACACUGGAACUGAGACACGGUCCAGACUCCUACGGGAGGCAGCAGUGGGGAAUAUUGGACAAUGGGCGAAAGCCUGAUCCAGCCAUGCCGCGUGUGUGAAGAAGGUCUUCGGAUCGUAAAGCACUUUAAGUUGGGAGGAAGGGUAGUAACCUAAUACGUUGCUACUUUGACGUUACCGACAGAAUAAGCACCGGCUAACUUCGUGCCAGCA
rnacentral:rRNA from 1 species